rnacentral:rRNA from 1 species
GACGAACGCUGGCGGCGUGCUUAACACAUGCGAGUCGAACGGAAAGGCCCUGCUUGCAGGGUGCUCGAGUGGCGAACGGGUGAGUAACACGUGGGUGAUCUGCCCCUUACUUUGGGAUAAGCCUGGGAAACUGGGUCUAAUACUGGAUAGGACCAUGCUGUAGGUUGUGUGGUGGAAAGAUUAGUUUCGGUAAGGGAUGAGCUCGCGGCCUAUCAGCUUGUUGGUGGGGUAAUGGCCUACCAAGGCGUCGACGGGUAGCCGGCCUGAGAGGGUGGACGGCCAAAUUGGGACUGAGAUACGGCCCAGACUCCUACGGGAGGCAGCAGUGGGGAAUAUUGCACAAUGGGCGCAAGCCUGAUGCAGCGACGCCGCGUGGGGGAUGACGGCCUUCGGGUUGUAAACUCCUUUCAGCCAUGACGAAGCCCUUGUGGUGACGGUAGUGGUAGAAGAAGCACCGGCUAACUACGUG